CCCUGGUGGUCUAGUGGUUAGGAUUCG
rnacentral:piRNA from 9 species